GCAGUGCCGGCAACUACACAAAAACAGGGAGAAAAGCGACAGCCUCCUACCGUCUAUACAUCGUUGUUUGUAAAAUGGGCUGGUUUGGACCUGGGCUGUUUUGAUAAAAGAGGAAACAAGUAUGCUGACGGAAUGGGAUGCACAGUAGAAAGAAAAUACGUUUCCAUGGACGAGCGUAAAAAUAUACAAGUGCGUUGCCGGCUUGGGAAAUGCAAAGAUGGCAGAUGUAUUGAAGAUGGCUACGGCAAUUGUGCAGUGUACUGAGCGAUAUCACCCACCGCGUCGCAAUCGUGACCACGCAAAAAUGUGCUCUGAAUAAAUGAAAUGUAUUC